rnacentral:rRNA from 1 species
UACGUAGGUCCCGAGCGUUGUCCGGAUUUAUUGGGCGUAAAGCGAGCGCAGGUGGUUUAUUAAAUCUGGUGUAAAAGGCAGUGGCUCAACCAUUGUAUGCAUUGGAAACUGGUAGACUUGAGUGCAGGAGAGGAGAGUGGAAUUCCAUGUGUAGCGGUGAAAUGCGUAGAUAUAUGGAGGAACACCGGUGGCGAAAGCGGCUCUCUGGCCUGUAACUGAUACUGAGGCUCGAAAGCGUGGGGAGCAAACAGG